rnacentral:lncRNA from 1 species
UGGAUGUGAUAAUAAUGAAUAUCUUUGGCCGUAGUGCAAAGAUGAUUUAAUGAUUACGAGCAGGAAUUGUGAUUUGGUAUAACCAUGAUUUUUGAUGUUUCAGGUGAAGACAGGUGAUGAAAAUUAUCUUCGUCCUGGGUACGAAGAGGAAUUUAGAAUCACAAUUGUGAUUAUGAGUUAUUCACAUGAUCGUGGACGGGAAUUGUUGAUUGAUGUUAC